rnacentral:rRNA from 1 species
GACAGAGGUGCCAAGCGUUAGGCGGAAUCACUGGGCUUAAAGCGUGUGUAGGCGGGCGGGCAAGUACCUUGUGAAAUCCCACGGCUCAACCGUGGAACGGCUGGGUAUACUGCCUGUCUUGAGCCAGCUAGGGGCGACCGGAACAGACGGUGGAGCGGUGAAAUGCGUAGAUAUCGUCUGGAACGCCAAAGGUGAAAACAGGUCGCUGGGGCUGAGCUGACGCUGAGACACGAAAGCCAGGGAGCGAACGGG